rnacentral:rRNA from 1 species
ACGGGAGGCAGCAGUGGGGAAUAUUGCACAAUGGGGGAAACCCUGAUGCAGCGACGCCGCGUGAGUGAAGAAGUAUUUCGGUAUGUAAAGCUCUAUCAGCAAGGAAGAAAAUGACGGUACUUGACUAAGAAGCCCCGGCUAACUACGUGCCAGCAGCCGCGGUAAUACGUAGGGGGCAAGCGUUAUCCGGAUUUACUGGGUGUAAAGGGAGCGUAGACGGUAAUGCAAGUCAGAAGUGAAAGCCCAAGGCUCAACCAUGGGACUGCUUUUGAAACUGUAAUACUAGAGUGCAGGAGAGGUAAGUGGAAUUCCUAGUGUAGCGGUGAAAUGCGUAGAUAUUAGGAGGAACACCAGUGGCGAAGGCGGCUUACUGGACUGUAACUGACGUUGAGGCUCGAAAGCGUGGGGAGCAAACAGGAUUAGAUACCCUGGUA